UGAGGAACAUGACCUUCGGCGGGGGACAGCCGGCCCAACGGCGGGUAAUACCGCGUACGACCUUUCGGGGACAUCCUCGGAUGGUGAAAGCAGCAAUGCGCCGAUGGAGUGCCUCGCGGCCUAUCAGCUAGUUGGUGAGGUAACGGCUCACCAAGGCGACGACGGGUANCUGGUCUGAGAGGAUGGCCAGCCACAUUGGGACUGAGACACCGGCCCAGACCUCCGUACGGGGAGCAG
rnacentral:rRNA from 1 species